rnacentral:rRNA from 1 species
CCUACGGGGGGCAGCAGUGAGGAAUAUUUGUCAAUGGCCGCAGGGCUGAACCAGCCAAGUAGCGUGAAGGAUGACUGCCCUACGGGUUGUAAACUUCUUUUAUAAAGGAAUAAAGUGAGGCACGUGUGCCUUUUUGUAUGUACUUUAUGAAUAAGGAUCGGCUAACUCCGUGCCAGCAGCCGCGGUAAUACGGAGGAUCCGAGCGUUAUCCGGAUUUAUUGGGUUUAAAGGGAGCGUAGAUGGGUUGUUAAGUCAGUUGUGAAAGUUUGCGGCUCAACCGUAAAAUUGCAAUUGAUACUGGCAGCCUUGAGUACAGUUGAGGGAGGCGGAAUUCGUGGUGUAGCGGUGAAAUGCUUAGAUAUCACGAAGAACUCCGAUUGCGAAGGCAGCUUACUAAACUGCCACUGACAUUGAUGCUCGAAAGUGUGGGUAUCAAACAGGAUUAGAUACCCCGGUAGUC